rnacentral:sRNA from 1 species
UAGCUCCAUGCCAGUAGCUGCCUGCACUC